AUGACCGUUACACCCUCACCUGAACUCCGAAAAGACCGCUUCCUCGUCCAUCUGUACUUCUCGCAGAGCACCCAGGAAGGAGACCACGUGCGGGUCCCCACUACACACGUAGAACCUGACAGUUCCUUUAUUGGGCCAAUCCUGGUCGGCCCAAUGAAGGGACUUUGGCCCAGCGCUGGGGGCUAUAAAUACCCUCUGUUCCAAGAGAGUCAGGUAUUUUUCAUGCUCUUACCCAUAUACACACUUUUUACCUGUUCGUACUAUCACUCAUUUCAGCAUCGGAGUGCCUUGCAGGUACCCCCCAUCUCGUUCAAAUUUCAGCUCGGAGCCAGUCGUGACGGUCCAAGUCUGAUCAGGCAAGAUCAGUGGCGCCGUCUUGUUGGCUGA